GAUGAACGCUGGCGGCGUGCCUAAUACAUGCAAGUCGAGCGAACAGACGAGGAGCUUGCUCCUCUGACGUUAGCGGCGGACGGGUGAGUAACACGUGGAUAACCUACCUAUAAGACUGGGAUAACUUCGGGAAACCGGAGCUAAUACCGGAUAAUAUAUUGAACCGCAUGGGUCAAUAGUGAAAGACGGUUUUGCUGUCACUUAUAGAUGGAUCCGCGCCGCAUUAGCUAGUUGGUAAGGUAACGGCUUACCAAGGCAACGAUGCGUACCCGACCUGAGAGGGAGAUCGGCCACACUGGAGCUGAGACACGGUCCAGACUCCUACGGGAGGCAGCAGUAGGGAAUCUUCCGCGAUGGGCGAAAGCCUGACGGAGCAACGCCGCGUGAGUGAUGAAGGUCUUCGGAUCGUAGAACUCUGUUAUUAGGGAAGAACAAAUGUGUAAGUAACUAUGCACGUCUUGACGGUACCUAAACAGAAAGCCACGGCUAACUACGUG
rnacentral:rRNA from 1 species